rnacentral:lncRNA from 1 species
CCCUUUUUAAACAAUCUUCAUGGCAAUCUUUAAAGCAAUGGCUGAUGCAGACAACUCCCUUUGCUACGUCGGUCUCUGCUACUGUUCCUCUUCCUGCGUUCAGAUCAUCAUAACAUUAUAAAUUUCAUCUUAAAAUUCAUAUGGAUCUAUGGAUUUAUGUGGUUUGCCAUCAUUUUAGAAAAAAGAAAAUAAAAAAGAAAAAACAAGAACCGAGUAAAGGAUACAAAAUUGGAAAAAUAAAAUUAAUUUGUUUUUUUUUUCAGUUACCUGCUGUCAGAACGAGAGCAACAAACAAAACAUUGAAGAAAAAAAGAUGACAGAAACGAGAAGCCAUUUCAAGAUAAUUUUAUUUCUCAGUUUGAUUUUUUUUGCUUGUGAGAUGAAAGUUUCUU